rnacentral:rRNA from 1 species
GACGUAGGAUGCGAGCGUUAUUCGGAUUUAUUGGGCGUAAAGCGUGCGUAGGCGGCUGUUUAAGUCUGGUGUUAAAGCUAGGGGCUCAACCCCUGUGGUGCAUCGGAUACUGGGCAGCUUGAGUGCGGUAGGGGAAGGUGGAAUUCCGAGUGUAGCGGUGAAAUGCGUAGAUAUUCGGAAGAACACCAGUGGCGAAGGCGACUUACUGGACGAUUGUUGACGCUGAGGUGCGAAAGCGUGGGGAGCAAACAGG